AUAUCAAUAAGCGGAGGAAAAGAAACCAACAGGGAUUGCCUCAGUAACGGCGAGUGAAGCGGCAACAGCUCAAAUUUGAAAUCUGGCUCUUUUCAGGGUCCGAGUUGUAAUUUGUAGAAGAUGCUUCGGGCGUCGGCUCCGGUCUAAGUUCCUUGGAACAGGACGUCAUAGAGGGUGAGAAUCCCGUAUGUGACUCGGUGCCUUCGCCUAUGUGAAGCUCUUUCGACGAGUCGAGUUGUUUGGGAAUGCAGCUCUAAAAUGGGUAGGUAAAUUUCAUUCUAAAGCUAAAUAUGGCCAGAGACCGAUAGCGCACAAGUAGAGUGAUCGAAAGAUGAAAAGCACUUUGGAAAGAGAGUUCAAACAGUAC
rnacentral:rRNA from 1 species